AUUAUGUGUUGUAUAUAUAAUUCUCAGAGAAACGAUGAGGUGCACUCCGCGAAUUCGCGCAUAAAACUGAUGUCUCAAGUUCGACAAAGACGCAGAAAUCUUAUCUAGCCGAUAACAAAGAGACACAAUGUCAACAGGGGCAUAUCUGUAAGUGGAGAUCCGAGCAACACUACCAAAAUAUAUCUCUGUCUCCGCGAUAAAUUUCACCACCCAAUUUAAAUAAAUUGGCACUAGUAGGGUGUAAUUAAUCGCCAGGCCAACUAGAGCAGGCGUGAUAUGUGGAUACAAUUUAGCGGAAAUUAACAUUACAAAUAUCGCAGAGCUCACUAUUAUAGCACCUAGAACGAUGCCUAACCAUCGACUGCUGGAAUUUAGAAGAAGAAACGCGUUUGUGUUGAUGUCCAAACACUUUAUAGCCUCCUCCAUGAAGCGAUUCUCUUGCUUUGAAGCUCUUAUCGUUGCUAAUCCGCAAAGUGUUUCGGAAAAAUAGUAAACUGUGCACAUGGGUACAGCGAAAAUGAGGAACCAUGGUGAGAUAAUAACAUUCACAAUCAUCGCUGAACCGCAGAGAAGAAAGAAGAACAUCAGUCGUUGGAUCGACAUGGAUAUUUUCUUUAAUAAAAAAUGGAAAGGUUGAAGACUGGUCGAUCUAACAGCAUUUCGAUGCGGUUUGAAUCGCUUUUUCUCGACAUUCCAUUCUUCUGUAGAUACUGGAAGAUCUGUCAAAUCAUGAGCCAAGUAUCUUGAUCCGGAAAGAGUAGUUUUUCUCAUUCUUAAUGAGUUUGACAUACUUGAUGAGCAAUGGAUAAAAAUUCCAGUCGAUGAGUAACCAUGAUCACAGUGCGCCCACUUCUGAGUAACAGUUUUCGAAUUCCUUGAUCAAAGAUCUGUUGCCCAACUUGAUGAUCCAGUGCAGAUAAUGGAUCAUCCUGGAAAUAUAUAUAUAUUUUUUUUUAAUCUUGAAACAAAUUUGUUCUUUUGAUCUAAUUAA